UACGUGCGGGGCGAACGUUGUUCGGUGUCACUGGGCUUAAAGGGUGCGUAGGUGGUUGCGUAAGUAAGGUGUGAAAGCCCUCGGCUUACCCGGGGAAUUGCGCCUUAUACUGCGUGACUUGAGGAUUUCAGGGGAAUGGGGAACUCCAGGUGUAGCGGUGAAAUGCGCAGAUAUCUGGGGGAAGGCCGGCGGCGAAGGCGCCAUUCUGGGAAAUUCCUGACACUGAGGCACGAAAGCGUGGGGAGCAAACAGG
rnacentral:rRNA from 1 species